rnacentral:rRNA from 1 species
ACUUACAGCCAUACCACCCUUAGCAUGCCCAACCUUGCCUCAUCUCGGAAACUAAGCAGGGUUGGGAUGGGAGACCACCAUCACUGGGAAUA